UACGUAGGGGGCAAGCGUUGUCCGGAUUUAUUGGGCGUAAAGAGCGUGUAGGCGGCCAAGCAGGUCCGCUGUGAAAACUCGAGGCUCAACCUCGAGACGUCGGUGGAAACCGUUUGGCUAGAGUCCGGAAGAGGAGAGUGGAAUUCCCGGUGUAGCGGUGAAAUGGGCAGAUAUCGGGAAGAACACCCGUGGCGAAGGCGGCUCUCUGGGACGGUACUGACGCUGAGACGCGAAAGCGUGGGGAGCGAACAGG
rnacentral:rRNA from 1 species